rnacentral:rRNA from 1 species
CAGUCGCCGCGGUAACACGGAGGAUCCAAGCGUUAUCCGGAAUCAUUGGGUUUAAAGGGUCCGUAGGCGGUCUUGUAAGUCAGUGGUGAAAGCCCAUCGCUCAACGGUGGAACGGCCAUUGAUACUGCAGGACUUGAAUUAUUGGGAAGUAACUAGAAUAUGUAGUGUAGCGGUGAAAUGCUUAGAGAUUACAUGGAAUACCAAUUGCGAAGGCAGGUUACUACCAAUUGAUUGACGCUGAUGGACGAAAGCGUGGGUAGCGAACAGGAUUAGAUACCCCCGUAGUCCCUGUCUCUUAUAC